rnacentral:rRNA from 1 species
UACGGGGGGGGCAAGCGUUGUUCGGAAUUACUGGGCGUAAAGGGCUCGUAGGUGGCCAACUAAGUCGGACGUGAAAUCCCUCAGCUUAACUGGGGAACUGCGUCCGAUACUGGAUGGCUUGAGUUUGGGAGAGGGAUGCGGAAUUCCAGGUGUAGCGGUGAAAUGCGCAGAUAUCAGGAGGAACACCGGUGGCGAAGGCGGGUCUCUGGGCCGAUACUGACGCUGAGGAGCGAAAGCGUGGGGAGCGAACAGG